GAGUACCUAAGAGUGCGAGAGCGAGGGAGGGAGAGGAUUUUAAAUCCGAUGACAGUGAUAACAGUGAUAGUCAGUUCAGGCUCGAGUGGUGGAAGGGUCUCCGCUGAACCAAGAAAACACUUCUGGUUUAACAUCUACAGAUUCUAUCACCAGUGUUGCUGUCACUUUAAGACUGUUACUGAUUAGCCGCCGGAGAAUGUGACUGGAAAGAGAAAAAAGGACAGAGCAAAAGAGAAAAAAGAGAGACGGAAAGGAAGAGAGAAAAAGAGAGUUUCAAACUGGGAAUCAUAUGGAGAACACUGAGGUUGGACAGGGAGAAGACUGAGACUCAGCACAUGCAAGCAACAUUCAGCCAUCAGGAAAUACUCCUUUCACCCAGACUGAGUUCAGAGGGCUCACAUUCCAGUUUCAUUUGAUAUGUGAUUAUGCUAUCUUCUAGCUCUCAGUGCAUGAGAAUGCCAAGAUCGAAGACUGAAGAUGACUCCAUUUUACAACGAAGGCUGUUUCUGUGAUACUGG